UACGUAGGGGGCAAGCGUUGUCCGGAUUUAUUGGGCGUAAAGCGCGCGCAGGUGGUGGAUUAAGUUGUGGGUAAAAGGCAUUGGCUCAACCAAUGUAAGCCUGCAAAACUGGUUCACUUGAGUGCAGGAGAGGGGAGUGGAAUUCCCGGUGUAGCGGUGGAAUGCGUAGAUAUCGGGAGGAACACCAGUGGCGAAGGCGACUCUC
rnacentral:rRNA from 1 species